AUGCAAGGCAGUAAGAUAUUGGGAUGUGUUACUUUGCUACACAGGAUCAUGAAACUGUGAUCUUCGGGAAAGGUGUGUUCUUGCAGUAUGAUGGUGCAGAUUCCAGGACCCAGCAUCUCAUUCAGCACCUCAAGUCUAAGUCAGUCCAGCCAAGAGACUCUAUGACUCUGAACUACAAUACACACUGAGACCUGUGCAGGACAACAGUGUCUAUUGGUUCGGACAUGGCUCAGGAGAAUCCCAUCCAGGAAUCAUUUACACCCAUGGAUACAAGAGUGAUCAGCGUGAGAAGAUGCCUGAUGCUGGGUCUCCUACACAGAGCUGUGUCUACAACCUCUCUAAGAGGAACCUCAGCCUCUUUGAUGCCUGGACUUAAUACUGUCCUGCGGCCAUGUAGGAAAAUACUGUUUUGGAACAAGACCAAGCUGGACAUUGAAGAAUAUGCUUUUCCCCUGACUCUUACCGCUCUGGCACUGGUUGUGAUUGUGAUCAUUCUACUGUCAUGGGGAAUAUGCAAGGAAAGUAACAAAGGACCUAGAGGUAUAGAAAGACUCAUCAUUUGCAUCUGACAUGCAUAUUAAUAGCUACUAAUUAAUAUACUGUUAUUUUUCACAGUAAUGUUCGAUGUGUCCAUGUAAGAGGAAAAUGUACUGCGUUAAUAAGAUGGCUUGUAUACUGUACUUCAUGUCAUUUUUAUCCUUCCUGUUUUUAAUCUGAAUUGAUAAAUUACCAUCCGCACC
rnacentral:lncRNA from 1 species